CCUGGAACCAUACACUGACAAAAUUGGGGAAGAUUACUUGAUUUGAGUCUUUUAUUUUGGAAGAUGCAGACCAAGCUCUUUGUUGGCCCUUAGGGGUGGGUGGGUCCAGCCCAUCUCAGUGUCAGCAUGAGGAAGUGGUCCACACAGGAACAGCAAUUGUGACAUCACAGCCCAUCCUGAGUCUGGUUUCCUCAGAUCCUCAUCCACUGCUGCAGCUUUUGGAUUCAGUUCCCUAGUCCUGUCAGCCCAGAGAAGCGUGCAGUCUGCUGCAGAAGGAGGAAAAGCCAUUUUGUGACCGUUAUUGACACAGAUGACAAUGCUAUGCUGGCUUGUUUCAGUUCCAUAGAACAAUGGGAGCAGAAGAAGAUGCAGUUUAAUGAAGGCAUUUAGCAAAUUGUUGGUAAAUGGUGGGGAUACAACGGCCCCAGCGAAGUCAUCAGGCACAUUUUCUCUCUAAUGUGGCUGCAGUUACUCUCCUGGCCUCCCGGCUCCUCCUCUCCGAGAGGCAGACUUCCUCUUCCUCUCUGUUCCACGCUGGGAAACAGCACUUGGCUAAACCCAGGAGAACUGAUUUGAAAGGUAGUGGGAGGAAGCAGUUCCUUUCCAAAGGAAUCUGCAGGCUUAAAGGUCUGCAGAGCACCGAUUUCAGAUGAAUUCGGCGCGGAGGAAUCACAAAUAACUUAGAAAAUCAUCAGUGUCAAUAUUGCCCACACCCCUGGAAUAUUAAUAUGUACACACACCCACGCACCCCCCUGGAGAUGCAUUUAUUUCACAAUUCACAAACGGUGAAGAAACCUUUCCUGAAAUUUUUUUCCUUAGGGACUUGGGAAGCCAGGAGUAAAAUUGUGAUUCUUCCAAAUGCUUCCCCAUAUGACUGAAAUACUCCCAUUAAAGUGAAUUUCCUUGGUCUACA